UAGGAGAGUUACAGGGUAGAGGCGUAAAGGGUCCUCAGUAGAAGCAGAUAUUCCCUGCAUGGCUGGUGUUGCCCACAUUGCCACCAGCUUCUGGGAGAGGGAGUAGAGGGCAGUUGCGGAAGGGGGUUAAGGUCACCUUCCUUGCCACCAUCCCCCUUGCCAAAAUAGUACAUAUAUAGUCACUAUUUGAGACCAAAAUGUCUCCAUCCUCUUGAAGAGAUGAAUCGUGGGCAGCUAACAGGAAGAAGGGAACUGAACUGGUGUCACUUGGCUUCUUUUGGGAUCCAGUGAUUGUGACCCACAGCAGUUCAUUGGUGGUGGUUUUUCCAUUUGUAGAUAUGACCUCUCUGGGUUUGGAGGUGGAGUCAGACUAUCUGAUGCACAGGAUGGUGAGAUAGAACACAUUCGUCUUUGAAGAAGCCAAGUCCAGGUUUGUGCUGACCUGGCACUGCUCCACCCAGCAUUCCAGAUGCAAAUGCGGAGAGAUGGAGAGCCUGCAAGCCACCGAUGGCUGUAGUUUGGAAAUAAAUAGCUCUGGAGCCUGGAUGCUCCUAAAGGAAGCCCGUCUCCGCUCGAGUUGGUGGAUGCUGAAGUGCUGGGAGUCAUGAACAGGUGGCUGAAGGACCAGCUUGGUCCCCCAACCUUGAUGCCUCAAGAAUGUACACAGAAAAUGGCAGUCAGCAUCCUUACAGAGUCACUAAGAAGACAAAAUUGGAGCAUCAAAGCCAUCCAGGAAGUGAAAAUACUCCAACCUGGGUCACACACAGAAAGCAGGAGAAAAAACCGUUAACAUGCAUCCUGGCUGAAUCAGUGUCUAAAAGCAGCAUUUGAAAAUAUGAAACAAAAACUUUAAAUCAUAAGUGGCAAAGCUCAGAACAAAAAUAUCCCCCAACAUCCUUAUAUACUCAAGAAAAAUGUGAAAUAAGAAUUGAAUAAACUCUGGAAAGCAAUAGAAGGAAAAAUAAAUAAAAUAAAUAAAAAUAAAUGCUAUCUUAGUACCCAUAGGACCCCAAAUCUUAUUGGAUAUGAGGAAAGUGAGAGAGGUUAACAGAAUGGAGAACAAAGCAAAGGUGGGAACAAAAGUCAUAUGGAGACCAUGUGCUAGACAUCAGUCCCAGAAGAGUCUAAAACAGAAAACACACAAUGAGAAAUAACACAUACCUAAAACUACAGGCUACAGUGAAUUUCUAUCAGGAAAUGAGGAUCUGAAGCUCCAUCUUUAAGGAUUCACAGUAUACGU
rnacentral:lncRNA from 1 species